UACAGAGGGUGCGAACGUUGUUCGGAAUUACUGGGCAUAAAGAGCACGUAGGCGGCACCGCAAGUGUGGGGUGAAAUCCCACGGCUUACCCGUGGAACUGCCUGGCAGACUGCGGUGCUAGAGGUUGGUAGGGGAGAGCGGAACUCUUGGUGGAGCGGUGAAAUGCGUAGAUAUCGGAAGGAACACCAGUGGCGAAAGCGGCUUCCUGGUCCAGCACCGACGUUCAGGCACGAAAGCGUGGGGAGCAAACAGG
rnacentral:rRNA from 1 species